UUUCAAACGAAAAUUAAUCAGGGAACAAAAUCAAUUUCUUGCUUAGGCAUAUUUUUAUGGGAGCAAUAGCAUUUAAUUUGCUGUGCGUUUGUUCCGAAAUGUUGAGGUCUGUUAAACGAUUGAAAUGACCAAAACGUUUGAUCUUGAACGAAUUUAUUUUUACAUGUAUCAAUGGCGUUUGCAACAAAAUCUGAUACGCGUUGGUAUAAUCGUGAAUAAGAAAAUUCUAAAAACAUAAAAAAACUGAAAUGAAGUACGCUAGAGGUAGUCUCAUUGCGACAUUAAUAUCGUUAUAGCUAGGAGGUACGCUAUGUAAAAUGGCUGAGACAAUCGAAACAAUGUCACCUUAGUAAAAUCUCUCGAAAUGCUGUGAAAAAUCGGACUGGUGCUUAUGACAUCGAUAAAGUGCCGAAAAAAUUAUCGCCGCUUGUAGCUAACGCUCUUCUAAAGAUGAUCAUGAUACCUAACAUCACAAAUAUGGGACUCGAUUGAUAUUUUCACAGAAAUCUGUUUCGCCUAAUAAGACAAAUUAAGUCGGAUUUUUGUAAAUAGAUAUUUUUAACUCCGUCCAAAGUUAUACAGCAAAUUUUGAAAGAAUUUUUAUAUUCUUUUUGUAUGUAAUUUUUUUCGUUCGAGUGGGUGGAGGCAAAGGAUCGUGUUGGUAAAUUUUUUUUUAGAUGUCCACCAUUGGGAUGUUUUGAGUUCUGAAGAAAUACAAUUAGUGUCGUACUCUGUAUUUUAUUAAUGGUAGCUGAAUUAAGAAAUACGAAGUAACAAUGAAACAGAAUUAGUGCUGAUGAUUUUGAACAUAUGGGAGAUGUGUUGGAAAAGAUGUUAAAUGAACACAAAUGUAUUUUUAAGUAAACAUUAAAAAUUGCGUAAUUCUGAAAAACA